rnacentral:rRNA from 1 species
GGAGUUAGCCGGUGCUUCUUCUGUGAGUGAUGUCCUUCCUGCCGGUUAUUGACCCGCAGGCCUUCUUCCUCACUGAAAGUGCUUUACAACCCGAAGGCCUUCUUCACACACGCGGCAUGGCUGGAUCAGGGUUGCCCCCAUUGUCCAAUAUUCCCCACUGCUGCCUCCCGUAGGAGUCUGGGCCGUGUCUCAGUCCCAGUGUGGCUGAUCAUCCUCUCAGACCAGCUACGGAUCGUCGCCUUGGUGAGCCGUUACCUCACCAACCAGCUAAAUCCGACAUAGGCUCAUCCGAUAGCGCGAGGCCCGAAGGUCCCCCGCUUUCCCCCGUAGGGCGUAUGCGGUAUUAGCCUGGGUUUCCCCAGGUUAUCCCCCACUACCGGGCAGAUUCCUAUGCAUUACUCACCCGUCCGCCGCUCGCCACCAGGGAGCAAGCUCCCCGUGCUGCCGCUCGACUUGCAUGUGUUAGGCCUGCCGCCAGCGUUCAAAUCUGAGCCAUAAUCAAAACUCUGA